rnacentral:rRNA from 1 species
UGCAUAUCAAAAAGCGGAGGAAAAGAAACCAACCGGGAUUGCCUUAGUAACGGCGAGUGAAGCGGCAAAAGCUCAAAUUUGAAAUCUGGUACCUUCGGUGCCCGAGUUGUAAUUUGGAGAGGGCAACUUUGGGGCCGUUCCUUGUCUAUGUUCCUUGGAACAGGACGUCAUAGAGGGUGAGAAUCCCGUGUGGCGAGGAGUGCGGUUCUUUGUAAAGUGCCUUCGAAGAGUCGAGUUGUUUGGGAAUGCAGCUCUAAGUGGGUGGUAAAUUCCAUCUAAAGCUAAAUAUUGGCGAGAGACCGAUAGCGAACAAGUACAGUGAUGGAAAGAUGAAAAGAACUUUGAAAAGAGAGUGAAAAAGUACGUGAAAUUGUUGAAAGGGAAGGGCAUUUGAUCAGACAUGGUGUUUUGUGCCCUCUGCUCCUUGUGGGUAGGGGAAUCUCGCAUUUCACUGGGCCAGCAUCAGUUUUGGUGGCAGGAUAAAUCCAUAGGAAUGUAGCUUGCCUCGGUAAGUAUUAUAGCCUGUGGGAAUACUGCCAGCUGGGACUGAGGACUGCGACGUAAGUCAAGGAUGCUGGCAUAAUGGUUAUAUGCCGCCCGUCUUGAA